CCUGAAGAAUCCCAGGGAUGGGGGAGCCUGGUGGGCUGCUGUCUACGGGGUCGCAUAGAGUUGGAUACAACUGAAGCGACUUCGCAGCAGCAGUAGCAGCAGGGUUAUGGCCAGGAAGUAAUAAGCUUAAACCUUCAUAUAAGUAUGUUGAAAUGAUAACUACAAUUGCCAUCUAAAGGUAGAAGUCCAAAGUCUAGAAAAAUGAGAGUCAGUGAGUGCAGAUUCGCCUGUGUUCCUUCAGGAAAUCUCCAAGAGAGAACUUCACUGGAUGGACAUGAACACUCCUGUCACCCUAGGAUGCUUUGUUUCAGUUUUAGAAAAUAACUUACUCCUACCAAAAGUUCAGACAAGGAGGGGAGCUGACGGGGACUUGUGUGGAGAAAAUUGCUCCGUGGGCAAAAUCCAGAGAGCCAGCAUAUCAUGGGUUUAUCCAACACACAAGCAUUUAUCGGAUGCCUGCCAUGUGACAGAUACUCCCUGUAUCAGUUAGGACUCUUCCUGUUACAAGUCACCUCAAUUUAAUAAGAAUUUUUUUGGGGGGUUAUGCAAAUAGAAGUUGAGAGGUAGGGCAGGCUUUGGGGUUUAAUUACCCAGGGGCUCCCAGGUCACCUCUGCUCUAUGCAAGGGCCUCCUCUUCAAGAUUGUCUUCCCACAUUAUGACAAAUGACUCUUCUAGAUACCAGGACUUAUGAAAGAGAGGACAGCUUUUAUGAAGGUUUGCUUUUAAAAGCAUAGACCCUUUUUCCCCAGAAUUACCUAGCAAAGUUCACCUUAUUUUCCAGUGGUGAGAUCAGGUCACAUGCUCCUUUCAAAACCAAUCCCCAUAUGGAAAGAAAUAUCAGGCAUUGACUGGUUCUAAAACCCAGGCCUAAGCAGGAUAGGAUUACAAAUAGGCAAUAAAAGUCCUUCUCUUUAGCUAGAGGGUUGGGGGGUCAUCUUUCCCCUAAGCUUAUGGACCAGAGAGUAAAUGCUUGAUUAAAAAUAAGGACACAGUUAGGGAAUGGCAGAAAGGAUGCGGUGCCAUCUUUCUAUUACAGUCUCUGUCUGCAAGGAGCUUACAUUUUGGGAAGACAGGAGUAUUAUCUACUCAUAAUGAAAAAUGAUAUGAGAGACACAAACUGCAAUGGGAGACUAGAAGAGACCAUUUAUCCUGAUAACGCCUGAGGGAUCAGGGAGCUGGCUUUGCAGAGAUGCAUUUUCUAAGGAUGCCAAAGUAGAAAUUCAUGUAGGUGAAGGGUGUUGGAUCCAGGACAUAGGAAGGCAAGUGUGGUUUAGAGGAAGGAGGCAGGAAGUUAGUUAGAUUCAUAAUACAUUGAAACAAUCAAGUAAAAAUAUCUGGAGAAAAUUUGGGACCAGACAGGGAUGGAGAGAUUGUGUUGGAAGCCAUUAGUAUAAGAGAAAUGAUAGUAAGAGGUACGUUUUAUCACAUAUAUGUGUGUGUGUGUGUGUAAGUCUCUCAGUUGUGUCCAACUCUCUGUGACUCCGUAGCUUGGCAGGCUCCUCUGUCCGUGGUAUUCUCCAGGCAAGAACCUUAGAGUGGGAAAUGGCUCCCCACUCCAGUAUUCUUGCCUGGAGAAUUCCUUGGAGAGAGGAGCCUGGCAGGCUACUGUCCACUGGGUCGUAAAGAGUCGGACACGACUGAGCAACUAACGCAUGCUGUUAAUAUUUCAUAGUGGGAGUAGAUUAGGGGGAAGACUUCUAAAAAGGCUCCUGUGGAGCGGGAGUGGGGUGGUAAUAGUGAAAAAAAAAGGGGGGACAGACACUGAGAUAUAUCACUGCGUCAUUAUUUAGAACUGGAGGCUCCACUCGAGAGGGAAGGGAUAUAUGUAUACGUACAGCUGAUUCACUUUGUUGUACAGCAG
ensembl:lncRNA